UUAAAUAGGAUAUAUGUCCAUCCUCUUUGUCUUUGCUAAGUAUGUUAAGCUUUAACUACUUUGAUGAGCUGACUCAUAUAAGAAACUGUGAUAUUCUAUAAUGGUGCACUAUGAAUGGAUAAAAAAAAAAAAAUGCAGGCCUCCAACAGAUGACAGCCAAAAAAGAUCAAAGAAGAUUCAAUAAGACAGCCUCUCAUCUGGAGGCUGAACGAGGCAACUACAUAGGAAGAAAGGAGUCUCAAGAACGGGUCUAAUGAAUCCCAGAGGGAUGUGGAACAUCUCCCGAAGUAUACCGCAACUGUGGGGGACCAGCUGGUCUCUUUUUCUCGGAUUCCGCGGAGACGCCCCUGAGUGGACACUUCACCACUUUUCAUUCUACAAAGAGUAGGGUCAACAAAGGAAAAGAAAUCCUCCCCACUCUGAGCAACCGAAAGAAGGUUCAAGCAAAGCCUUUGAUUUAUAUUGACUUAGUUGGACUAACUGGCAAAGGAAAGACUAGAGGAGCCAGAAGCUCUUCCCAAGCCUAAGUGACUCUGGAAAGAACGUCAUUAAUUUUUACUGUCUACAUUGCUUAAACUCCCAGCAGAUUGUCAACUAGAGGAUGAGGUCCGGUUGUGACCACAACAAUCAGAAUGUGGAUUUCGUUCAGGUUAGGCCAUCCUCUCCAACUGUACGUUAUGUCAGGAUUUGCCAGCGAUGAACACUCUAGUCAAGAAAGUCUUUGAAACGCUGUCUUGUAGCAACACACUUCGCACCAAAGGCUCUUUUGAAGGGAGCUGGAGAUAUCUCAGAGGUUAAGUGUACUUGCUGUUCUUUCAGGAGAGACUGUUCAGUCCCCAGACUCACACGGGGCUCACAUUGGAGUCUACCUAUGUCUCCAGGUCAAGUGGAUCUCAGGCUCUUUUUUGGCCUUCACAGGUGGAAAGUAAGACGACAGGAUGUGUUUCAGACUAUGAUCCUCAGGAAACAGCUCUGCCUUCUCCAAACUUCUCGUAAACAUUUUCAGGCCGAAAGAAGAUUUCUGCAAGUAUUCGGAAUUUGAGCGGGACAGUAUAGAAAAAGAUCAUUUGAAUAUUGAUAGACUUUUGGAGUUGGCUUAUGCUAGGAUCUCUUGAAAAAGGGGCCAUGCUUGGUGUUGCUCUAGACUUGGACAACUGAACCAAUCAACUUAUGCUCCUAACACUUUCUAUGUAUCUUGUAUCAGGAUGGAAGUGUCCUAUUGAGACUUCGCCUUCUAUCCUCAAUAAGAAAUUACACAUGAUUAAUUCUACAAGGUGCACAACAUCAAGAACCCUAUUGGAGACUCUAGACUUAGGCUUUUGAUGGCAUACAAUGUAAUCUCAUCCAUUGUCAUAAGUACACAUUAAAGAAUUUCCCAUCUAA